AUUGAACGCUGGCGGCAGGCUUAACACAUGCAAGUCGAGCGGAGAGAGGUAGCUUGCUACCGAUCUUAGCGGCGGACGGGUGAGUAAUGCUUAGGAAUCUGCCUAUUAGUGGGGGACAACAUUUCGAAAGGAAUGCUAAUACCGCAUACGUCCUACGGGAGAAAGCAGGGGAUCUUCGGACCUUGCGCUAAUAGAUGAGCCUAAGUCGGAUUAGCUAGUUGGUGGGGUAAAGGCCUACCAAGGCGACGAUCUGCAGCGGGUCUGAGAGGAUGAUCCGCCACACUGGGACUGUGACACGGCCCAGACUCCUACGGGAGGCAGCAGUGGGGAAUAUUGGACAAUGGGCGGAAGCCUGAUCCAGCCAUGCCGCGUGUGUGAAGAAGGCCUUAUGGUUGUAAAGCACUUUAAGCGAGGAGGAGGCUACUUUAGUUAAUACCUAGAGAUAGUGGACGUUACUCGCAGAAUAAGCACCGGCUAACUCUGUGCCAGCCGCCGCCGUAACAC
rnacentral:rRNA from 1 species